UACGUAGGGGGCAAGCGUUGUCCGGAAUUAUUGGGCGCAAAGAGCUCGUAGGCGGUUUGUCGCGUCUGCCGUGAAAGUCCGGGGCUCAACUCCGGAUCUGCGGUGGGUACGGGCAGACUAGAGUGAUGUAGGGGUGACUGGAAUUCCUGGUGUAGCGGUGGAAUGCGCAGAUAUCAGGAGGAACACCGAUGGCGAAGGCAGGUCACUGGGCCGCAACUGACGCUGAGGAGCGAAAGCAUGGGGAGCGAACAGG
rnacentral:rRNA from 1 species